UUACGGCCACAUCACGUUGAAACACCGGUUUCCCUACGAUCAACAAAGUUAAACAACGUUGAGCCUGGUCAGUACCGAGAUGGGUGACCGCUUGAGAAUACCAGGU